CGGCGGCGGCGGGGAAGCCGGGGCUGGCUAGCAGUGCCCUUUUGUCCAUGGAGGCUGCUGCGGCGGCGGCGACGACAGCCGCCCCCUCCCCACCCCCGGCGGUCACCAGUCGGAGUUUCCAAGUCUCUCCUCCUUCUCUCCUCCCCGCCCGGCGCUUCCGAGCCCCUUCUGUCUCGUUUCUUUUUAUUUUUCCGCACCGCACGGGCACCGGGGGCCAAAAAUAAUCGGGGCUCUGGAGAGAGGAGGGUCCCGGCCGCACGGAUAUCGGGCCCCGAGGGGGGAUGGAGGCGUCGGGGGCGGCCGAUGCAACGGAUUGCGAGGCGGCGGCGGCAGCCCGGGUGCUGCGGCCGGCAGCUGAAAAAUGGCUCCAGGAAGCUGCUGCUGACAAUGAAUGAAGGGAUACGGUUUACGCGCCAAGGUCCUCCCGCGAAACUCAGAUUUCCCGCCGGCUUUUCAAACCAUAUUUGCAUAUCCCCGCCCUUCAACCCGCCGAGGACCGUUCCCACAGCCCAUUGGGCCUCUAGCUCCUCACUUAAGUCCCAAUCGUGGCGCAGGGCCGCGGCUGGCUGGUUUCCAUUGGCUGUCUUGCAUCACGGUUACCGGGGCGACAGGGGCCUCAUUUGCAUAGGCCUCCUUGAUUGGCUAAGGGAGAGCAGGGUCUUUAGGAGGUGGGGCAAAAGCCUUUCCUUCUCUCCCACGGAAAGCCACGCCUUGUCCAAGCUCCGCCCGGUCCCCGCCCGCACGCCGGGCGGGGGCUGCUGACCUGGGCAGGCGCUCAGCGCCCCGCAGACUCAGUGUCAAUCCGGUCUGGAGCGCAAGUUUCGCUUUUAGAAAUUGUCAAGGUGACCAAGGGGACACUUGCGGGAACUCUCUUUCCUUUGGCCAGUCAGUGUAAUAGAUGAACAAAAGCUGGAGAUUCUCCCAAAUAUGUUCCAAAGGCAAGUUGGACCAUGCGGACGAUGCCUGGCAGGGCGUUUGGUAGAAAACAAACGUUUUGACAUGGUAACAGGUGGUGAACCCCAGGAUGAAGUGGUAGAGAGAAGGGUCCGAAGAGAGAAGAGAAGGUGUUGGAAAAGGAGAUGCGAAACUUUGAGGCAACAAGACUCCAGCCAUACCAAACUGCCUGAAGUUCCUCAGAUGGCCUCUCCCACUUCCGCUACUGCUACAGAUGUUACUCUGCUUGAAAAUGCCCAUCACCGUCUGUCAAAAUUCUACACUGUUACUCAUCUUUUAAGGCUCAGCUCAGGGAACACCUCCUCCGUGUAGAUUCCUCAGAUCACAUCCCCCGCCCCCUGCAAUAUUUUUCAUUCAUCCGGAGAGUGUUUACUGAGCAUGUACUUUGUGUCAGACUCCAAUUUAGAAACUGCGGCUGUAAGUGAGAAGCAGAUAAACUUAGAGGUUGUCUUCAUCAAGCUUAAGACAGAGAGUCGCAAGUAGGGAAUAAUAAUAAUAAUGACAUAGUGAUAGCUAUAUUUAAUAAUCAUACAUAAUAAGUGCCGUGACGUGAGGCAAUACCUGAGGCUCUUAAAGCGCUGCAGGAGGACACCUCACCUGGGCUUAGUGAGAAUUUAGGGAAGGCUUCCUGGAGGAGGAAAUAGAGGAAUGAAUAGGAAUUGCUCAGGUAAUAUAGCAUGGGAGCAGGGAACAUGAAUGCAUGGCCUCUUGAAAAAAAUGAAAGUGGUUCAGCAGGGGAUCGUGGAGUACCUUAUAAACCAGUAUGGAGACAUUUGGAAUUUAUCCUAAAGGCAACGAGAAGUCAUUGAGACAAUGUAUGACGUGAUAAGAUCUGGUCUAAGAAGGACUCCUCUGGCUGCAGAAUGAGGAAUGUGUUGGAGGGGCCGGGACUAUGGCAAUAAUCUAGGUCAGCACACCAUGUUCCAGGUCAAAUCUGGCCCACGGUGUGUUUUUAUACACCCUGUGAUCUAAGAAUGAUUUUUAUCCUUUUUACACUUUUGAAUGGUUGAAGAAACAUCCAAAGAAGAGCGUAUCCCACGACACAUGAAAAAGUAAAUCAAAUUCAAAGCUUGGUUUUUGUUAAUAAAGUUUUAUUAGAGCAUA